UUAGAUGUCUGGGGCCGCACGCGCGCUACACUGAAGGACUCAGCGUGUGCUUUCCCUGUCCGCCAGGACUGGGUAACCCGUUGAACCUCCUUCGUGAUAGGGAUAGGGGCUUGUAACUGUUCCCCUUGAACGAGGAAUGCCCAGUAAGCGCGAGUCAUAAGCUCGUGUUGAUUACGUCCCUGCCCUUUGUUCACACCGCCCGUCGCUACUACUGAUUGAAUGAUUUAGUGAGGUCCUCGGACUGGCGCUCGGAGCGGGCCUCGGUCCGGGCCGACGUGCCGGAAAGAUGACCGAACUUGAUCAUUUAGAAGAAUAAAAGUCGUACAAGGUUUCC
rnacentral:rRNA from 1 species